rnacentral:rRNA from 1 species
UACGUAGGGUGCGAGCGUUGUCCGGAAUUAUUGGGCGUAAAGAGCUCGUAGGCGGUGUGUCACGUCGGCCGUGAAAACUUGCAGCUUAACUGUGGGCGUGCGGUCGAUACGGGCAUCACUGGAGUUCGGCAGGGGAGACUGGAAUUCCUGGUGUAGCGGUGAAAUGCGCAGAUAUCAGGAGGAACACCAAUAGCGAAGGCAGCUCGCUGGACGUUACUGACACUGAGGCGCGAAAGCGUGGGGAGCGAACAGG